UACGCAGGAGGCGAGCGUUGCUCGGAAUCACUGGGCGUAAAGCGCACGUAGGCGGCUUCUUAAGUCAGGGGAGAAAGCCUGGGGCUCAACCCCAGAACUGCCCUUGAUACUGAGGAGCUUGAGUCCGGGAGAGGUGAGUGGAACUCCGAGUGUAGAGGUGAACUUCGUAGAUCUUCGGAAGAACACCAGUGGCGAAGGCGGCUCACUGGCACGGUACCGACGCUGAGGUGCUACAGCGUGGGGAGCAAACAGG
rnacentral:rRNA from 1 species